AUUCUUUUCAGUUCACAUGUGAAAUGAUUGGGUAUUUAUGUAGUUGUGUGAGAUAUGCCCCCCACUUAAACCUUGUUACAAUGUUGGCAGAUUACCAACAUUGUAAUA
ensembl:snoRNA